AAUAAUAAUUCAACUUAGUAUGAGAGGAACUGUUGAUUCACACAAUUUCUCAUCAUGCUUGGUUGAAAAGCCAGUGGUGCGAAGCUACCAUGUGUUGGAUUAUGACUAAACACCUCAAAUUUUUUCAUUUCAAAUG
rnacentral:ncRNA from 1 species